rnacentral:rRNA from 1 species
UACGGGGGGGGGCAAGCGUUGUUCGGAAUUACUGGGCGUAAAGGGCUCGUAGGUGGCCAACUAAGUCAGACGUGAAAUCCCUCGGCUUAACCGGGGAACUGCGUCUGAUACUGGAUGGCUUGAGUUCGGGAGAGGAUGCGGAAUUCCAGGUGUAGCGGUGAAAUGCGUAGAUAUCUGGAGGAACACCAGUGGCGAAAGCGGCUUUCUGGUCCUUAACUGACGCUGAGGCGCGAAAGCACGGGGAGCGAACGGG